AUGGACGUGGAGAAGGUGACGGAGGUGGCGCCGGAGGUGGACGACGACGGCCGCGUAAGAACAGGGACGGUAUGGACGGCGACGACGCACGCCAUCACGGCCGUGAUCGGGUCCGGCGUGCUGGCGCUGCCGUGGAGCGUGGCGCAGAUGGGGUGGGUCCUCGGCCCCAUCGCCCUCGUCGGCUGCGCCUACAUCACCUACUUCACCGCCUGCCUCCUCUCCGACUGCUACCGCUCGCCGGACCCCGUCCACGGCAAGCGCAACUACACCUACAUGGACGCUGUCCGCUCCUGCCUCGGGCCGAGAGAAGUGGUGGUGUGCGGCAUUACACAGUACACGAUUCUCUGCGGUGCCGUCGUGGGCUACACCAUCACGGCCGCCACGGGCAUCAUGUCCGUGGUGCGCAGCAACUGCCGGCAUUACAAGGGCCACGGCGCGGACUGCAGCCAGGAAGGGACCAUGUACCUGGUCAUGUUCGGCGUCGUCGAGGUCGUCCUCUCGCAGCUGCCCAGCCUGGAGAAGGUCACCUUCGUCUCCGUCGUCGCCGCCGUCAUGUCCUUCACCUACUCCUUCGUCGCGCUCAUCCUCAGCGCCGCCAAGUUCGCGUCCAACCACCGGGCCGACGGCACCAUCUUCGGCAGCCACAUCGGCGGCCCCGGCGGCGUCUCCGCGGCCACCAGGACCUGGAGCUUCCUGCAGGCCCUCGGCAACAUCGCAUUCGCCUACACCUACGCAAUGCUCCUCAUCGAGAUCCAGGACACGGUGAAGGCGCCGCCGUCAGAGAACGUGACCAUGAAGAGGGCGAGCUUGUACGGCAUCGGCGUGACGACGGCCUUCUACGUCUCGCUCGGGUGCGUCGGGUACGCGGCGUUCGGCAACGCCGCGCCGGGGAACAUCCUCACCGGCUUCGACGAGCCCUUCUGGCUCGUGGACCUGGCCAACAUCGCCGUGGUCGUCCACCUCGUCGGCGCCUACCAGGUGUACGUGCAGCCCGUGUUCGCGUGCUACGAGAAGAAGCUCCGGGCCCGGUACCCGGACGCGGCCUUCUUCCACCGGGAGCUCGCGCUGCGGCUGCCCGGCCGCCGGGGCGCGCUCCGCUUCACCAUGGCCAAGCUGGUCCUGCGCACGGCGUUCGUGGUCGCCACCACGGUGGUCUCGCUGAUGCUGCCCUUCUUCAACGCCAUCCUCGGCCUGCUCGGCGCCGCCGCCUUCUUUCCGCUCACCGUCUACUUCCCCGUCACCAUGUACAUCACGCAGGCAAAGGUGCCGCGCGGCAGCGGCAAGUGGGUCGCGCUCCAGGCGCUCAACGUCGGCGCGCUCGUCGUGUCGCUGCUCGCCGCCGUCGGCUCCGUGGCCGACAUCGUCCAGCGCCUGCGGCACGUCACCAUGUUCAAGACACAGCUGUGA
rnacentral:rRNA from 1 species